rnacentral:rRNA from 1 species
GGGGGAAUUUUGGACAAUGGGCGCAAGCCUGAUCCAGCAAUGCCGCGUGAGUGAAGAAGGCCUUCGGGUUGUAAAGCUCUUUUGUCAGGGAAGAAACGGCGCCGGCUAAUAUCCGGCGCUAAUGACGGUACCUGAAGAAUAAGCACCGGCUAACUACGUGCCAGCAGCCGCGGUAAUACGUAGGGUGCAAGCGUUAAUCGGAAUUACUGGGCGUAAAGCGUGCGCAGGCGGUUUUGUAAGUCUGUCGUGAAAUCCCCGGGCUUAACCUGGGAAUUGCGAUGGAGACUGCAAGGCUAGAAUCUGGCAGAGGGGGGGUAGAAUUCCACGUGUAAGCAGUGAGAUGCCUAGAAGAUGUGGAGGAACACCGAUGGCGAAGGCAGCCCCCUGGGUCAAGAUUGACGCUCAUGCACGAAAAGCGUGGGGAGCAAACAGGAUUAGAUACCCUGGGGAGUCCACGCCCUAAACGAUGUCUACUAAAUUGUCNGGNCUUUAANUGGCNUNGGAACCCCACUUUUCCCGGNGAAAAUNAAACCCCUGUGGGAG